ensembl:lncRNA
GGAAGAGAUGACUCGCGAGCAGGACUUAUCCGAGUGAGGAGCUGAACACAGAGAGGGACCCCAUCAUGGAAGAGGAGCUGCCCGCACCUAAGGAUGCAAUAAGUGUCUGUCGUUUCUGCGCGGCAGGAUCGAAAUCAGAUGACGCAGAACAGCGAGGUGGAAACGUGUCACGUCCCUCGCAGGACAGGAGGUCUGUUUCUGUCUUUGGUUAUCUAGCUGUAUGAGUUUUAAAUCCCUGUCAUAAAGCUAGAUAACCGAAAGUAGAAAUGACUUCCAUUACUGACGUCUACAGACUGCAAGAGGAUUGAUGCUGUCUCCAAAAGGUAAGCAGCAUAGACCACACUACAGGCCUGCAGUUAUAACCCUACUCCUUGUAAUUCUGACUCAAAUGAAGUCGAUCGAAGCCUUCAAUUAACAAUACUUAAUUGUUAGCAAUAGUUAAUUGAAGGUCUGGCUGAUUAAUUCCAUCCCUUUGCAAAAGAUUACAACUUAAUAAUUGUGUUGACAUAAUCGUGGUUGUUACAGGGAAUGUAGGUGGGGAUAGUUGAGCCCUUUUUGUAGCGUCUGUUAAUGUCGACUGGUUCUCUGGUUUUAAACGUAUGCAGAAGUGAUAGCCUGUCCGUCGUGAAUGAUACAGGCUAACACCAGAGAAGCUACAGGCCCUUAUUUUGGCGGUACCCGUUGAGGACGGCGGCCCACGCGGGGAGCACGUGGUGCUGAAUAUUAAACAGGCGCCCCGCUGGGAGGAAAAAGAGCGCGCGGACUGCUUGUCAACGAGGGAGAGAAUUCAUUUUUCAUCACCUCGCUUCUCUAUUUUAGUAUUGUGAAAUCAUUUGUUAACAAAUUAACACACACAAAUAUUAUCUUUAAAAAAAAAAGCAACCAAUUAGCCCACGUUUUUUGUCAAAGAUGGUUGACUUAAAUAUCCGUUUUUUAUGGUAGAUAAUACGAGGAGAAGUGAAAAAAAACUGAGAUUAAGCACCUCCACGAUGGGCCUUUACAACACAAACUGCUGAGUGGUUGCUGAAGGAGCUCAGACACUCAGGGUUAAGAAAAACACUCGGCGCCUUCAUUUAUAGUCGUCGCCGGUUGUGCGAGGCGUUCUCCCCGAUGCAUUGUGUCUCGUUUCAAUGGUGGGACUCAGGGGCAGAGCCCAGAGACAGGGUCUGAGCCCUCCAACAGGGCACUCAGCGGCCUUGGUUCUCCUGGGGGCCAGAGAAUGCGGUCCUGAUUGGGGAGAGUGAGGAGGGCUAAAGUAAAGAGAUGAGUUUCCAUUCACCCAGUUAACUAGCUUCUGCAGCCUCUGCGUACGGAGGCUAAUUGCUUUAAUUCAGAGGAAGACACUGAAUAUAUAUGAACAGAGCUAGCGUGUUGUUGGGUGGUCUUUACCCCGGGAUGGUGCAAUGCAACGCAUGUUUCUUGUUAAAAUAUCUAAACAGGACAAGCAAAUGGAUGCCCACCUUCUCUUGUACUUUAUGAAGAGGAAUUAUGUUGUGUGUUUUUAUUGUUUCGAUAUGUCUAGAUGUUGCGUGCCUUCCCUACACACUCCCCCCCACACACACACACACGCAUGCAUGCAAACACACACACACACACACACACACACACACACACACACACACACACACACACACACACACACACACACACACACACACACACACACACAGAAACAGAAACAGAUGCACAACCGCACAUGGUCAAAACGUGUCUUCACCCUCAGCGUUCAUCGCUCCGUCUCCUCCUCCAGCUCCUCCAGGCCUUCAGCCUCCCAUGGCCACAGCAGACCCCUCAGAGCGAGGGAUGAACCAACACGGUAGUGAGGAAGAAGAAGAAGAAGAAGAGGCAUCGGAGGACGAAAUCCUUCCCGCCCUUUUUCAGCCCUCAACCGCCUCUCAGCAUCAUGGCAUCGCAGCAUCACGGCGUCACGGCGUCCGGCGUCAGGCGUCACGGCAGCGCAGCAUCUGUGCCGCCACCGGGCCACGCGGUCCACGGUGCCAACAGACGGACAAAGACACCCACCCCCCCCCCCCGGCCCGAGCUGGCCCCCGGUUCCCUGCGGACCAAUGGGAGAAGCCAUCUUGGGAGAGGGUUGCCGUGGCAGCCAAGAUGGCUGGGCUGGCACACACGAGUGCCACGAUGGAGCAGAAUGGAGACCUGGUCUGGGAUCUGGUCUGAGAUCUGGGAUAUGGGAUCCUGGAGUCACCCUCAGAGUCCCACCCACUGAUCCAGGAACGGACACAACACCUAUAAUCCAAUGUUUAUUGUACUAUCUGCUCCAAAGUACUGAUGUGUUGGAUUCGGAUUCAUAGACUGCUUUAUCAGUCCAGAGGGAAAUGGAUUCUGACACAAUUUCUCAAAUCAAGAUCGAAAAAAUAAUAAAGAAUAUAAAUAUAAUAGGUAAAAAAAUAUAAACACACAAAAGCCUAAUACUUAUUAUAAUUGCUCAUCUGUUGGGAUAACGAUGAUACAUUAAAUAAUAUAGGAUAUAUUUCAAUGUAUUUUGGAGAAUCUUUUGUUUAUAAUGGAGCUACUACAGAUUCAAGAGCAGUCGGCUCUGAGAGGGAUAUUCAGGAAACACAACAAUUAGCAGUCAUAGUCAAAAGCCAUUGUAAUUGUUUAGUAUUUCUCCUGUAUUUAAAAGAACAGUGUACUGCAUACUUUAAUUCAUGGAUUAAUACCGUUUUUUUUUAUGUUAGAGGAUUCCUAUUCUCUAAAAUAAGAGGAUUAUAUCCUCUUUUUCAUGAAUGAAGUUUUCAACACGGAUGAAUGAAGUGAAUACAGCUGUAUUUAUUUAGCAACAUAUUGCACUGUAAAGAAAUAAAUUGUAAUCUCAGUUAUUUAUUUUCCCAUGCUGUCAAUGCAAUUUAUUGGUUUCGAU